CCUACGGGAGGCAGCAGUGAGGAAUAUUGGUCAAUGGGCGGGAGCCUGAACCAGCCAAGUCGCGUGAAGGAAGAAGGUACUUAGUAUUUUAAACUUCGUUUGUCGGGGAACAAAGGCGGAGACGCGUCUCCGGAUGAGUGUACCCGAAGAAAAAGCAUCGGCUAACUCCGUGCCAGCAGCCGCGGUAAUACGGGGGAUGCGAGCGUUAUCCGGAUUUAUUGGGUUUAAGGGGUGCGCAGGCGGGUGAUCAAGUCCGCGGUAAAAGGGCGGGGCUCAACCGCGUCCGGCGGUGGAAACUGGUUUUUGAGAGUUGGAGAGAGGUAUGCGGAAUUCGAGGUGUAGCGGUGAAAUGCAUAGAUAUCACGAAGAACUCCAAGGGCGAAGGCAGCAUACCGGCUCCAUACUGACGCUGAGGGACGAAAGCGUGGGGAUCGAACAGGAUUAGAUACCCCUGUAGUC
rnacentral:rRNA from 1 species